rnacentral:ncRNA from 1 species
ACCGUCUUUGUCUUGGGGCUGCGAGCAUGUUCAAGGAACGUUAAGUGAGAACAUGACUGCUGACACCACUGACUAACAAUCACUGCAUCAUGGAGGCGAAAGCUUCCAUUGGUGCAAUUUUUGGAGCU